rnacentral:rRNA from 1 species
UUCCGGUUGAUCCUGCCAGACCCGACUGCUAUCAGAAUAGGACUAAGCCAUGCGAGUCAACGUAGCAAUACGUGGCAUACGGCUCAGUAACACGUAGUCAACAUGCCCAGGGGACGUGGAUAACCUCGGGAAACUGAGGAUAAACCGCGAUAGACCAUAAUGUCUGGAAUGAUUUAUGGUUCAAAUCUACAUGGCCCCUGGAUUGGACUGCGGCCGAUCAGGCUGUUGGUGAGGUAAUGGCCCACCAAACCUAAAACCGGUACGGGCUCUGAGAGGAGAAGCCCGGAGAUGGGCACUGAGACAAGGGCCCAGGCC